ACCCCCGUGAGAAUGCCCUUAAAACUCUUUUGAGACCAAGGAGCAGGUAUCAGGCACACCAAGUGUAGCCCACAACACCUUGCUAAGCCACACCCCCAAGGGAAUUCAGCAGUGAUUAACAUUAAGCCAUAAGUGUAAACUUGACUUAGUUAAAGCCAACCAGGGUCGGUAAAAUUCGUGCCAGCCACCGCGGUUAUACGAAAGACCCAAGCUGACAGAGACCGGCGUAAAGAGUGGUUAGGAAAAUGAUAUACUAAAGCUGAACAUCUUCUUAGCUGUUUAACGCAUUUGAAGAUAAGAAUCACUAUCACGAAAGUAGCUUUAAACACCUGACUCCACGAAAGCUAUGAAACAAACUGGGAUUAGAUACCCCACUAUGCUUAGCCGUAAAAAUUGAUACCCCAAUACAACCACUAUCCGCCAGGGUACUACAAGCAUUAAGCUCAAAACCCAAAGGACCUGGCGGUGCUUUAAAACCCCCUAGAGGAGCCUGUUCUAUAACUGAUAAUCCCCACUUAACCUCACCCCUUCUUGCCAAUUCCGCCUAUAUACCGCCGUCGUCAGCUUACACUGUGAAACCCCAAUAGUGAGCAAAAUUGGUAAAACCCCAAACGUCAGGUCGAGGUGUAGUAAAUGAAGGGGGAAGAAAUAGGCUACAUUCGUUUACUAACGCACUACGAACUAAAUGUUGAAAACACACUUACGAAGGAGGAUUUAGCAGUAAGAAGAAGAUAGAGUAUUCUCCUGAAACCGGCCCUAAAGCACGCACACACCGCCCGUCACUCUCCCCUAGCACACCAUACACACUAAAUAAACAACUAACAAGCUGAAGAGGAGGCAAGUCGUAACAUGGUAAGUGUACCGGAAGGUGCACUUGGAAAAAU
rnacentral:ncRNA from 1 species